UGAGUCAGCGCAUGGGUGUACGUCGUAUACGUCGUACAAGACGCCCAGGCUUCUGCAGGUCUUAGAAGCGCUUGUGUGUGGAUGCCCCAGUUGAGAAUGCACGGGCCGCGGCCACAAGUCGGCCCUGCGCACGUACUCCCACAUCCUCUUGCCCUCGCUGCGUAUCCCCCGCAACCCUCCUCCAUGCCCUCACCACCCCCCGUGCCCACCAACACCGUCCCCCUGACCCCCACUGCGCACCUCCGCCACCUCCGCCACUGCCACCACCUCCGCCACUGCCACCACCUCCGCCACCCACACAAUCCUCCUAACCUCCCGCUGCGCUCCUCCACUGCCGCCACCUCUGCCACUGCCGCCACCUCUGCCACUGCCGCCACCUCUGCCACUGCCGCCACCUCUGCCACUGCCGCCACCUCUGCCACUGCCGCCACCUCUGCCACUGCCGCCACCUCCGCCACUGCCGCCACUGCCGCCACCUCUGCCACUGCCGCCACUGCCGCCACCUCUGCCGCUGCUGCCGCCACUGCCGCCACCUCCGCCACUGCCGCCACUGCCGCCACCUCCGCCACUGCCGCCACCUCCGCCAACCACACAACACUCCUCACCUCCCACUACGCUCCUCCACUGCCGCCACCUCUGCCACUGCCGCCACCUCUGCCACCUCUGCCACUGCCGCCACUGCCGCCACUGCCGCCACAUCUGCCACCUCUGCCACCUCUGCCACCUCCGCCGCUGCCGCCAUCUCUGCCACCUCUGCCACCUCUGCCACUGCCGCCACCUCUGCCACCUCUGCCACCUCUGCCACCUCUGCCACCUCUGCCACCUCUGCCACUGCCGCCGCUGCCGCCCCUCCCGCAGCG
rnacentral:lncRNA from 1 species